rnacentral:tRNA from 1 species
GCGAGAGUAAUUCAGUGGUAGAAUGUCAGCUUCCCAAGCUGAAAACGCGGGUUCGAUUCCCGUCUCUCGCUCCA